UGCCAGCCGCCGCGGUAAUACGGAGGGUGCAAGCGUUAAUCGGAAUUACUGGGCGUAAAGCGCGCGUAGGUGGAUGAUUAAGUCAGAUGUGAAAGCCCAGGGCUUAACCUUGGAACUGCAUUUGAUACUGGCGAACUUGAGUACGGGAGAGGAAAGUGGAAUUCCGAGUGUAGGGGUGAAAUCCGUAGAUAUUCGGAGGAACACCAGUGGCGAAGGCGGCUUUCUGGACCGAUACUGACGCUGAGACGCGAAAGCGUGGGGAGCAAACAGGAUUAGAUA
rnacentral:rRNA from 1 species